GAGUGGACGAUUGUAGCUGAGGAUGGUCCUGGAGCUGCUGUGUUGGAUCCAAAUAGAAAAGGCAAAGCUGGGGAGAAGGCUGAAGAGGUCGAGGCUGUGGGUUCUGGGGCAUAAGAUGCGCUCUCGAACGCAGCUAGCCUGGAUUCGACACCUUUCACGGGAUGAGACAGUACUUUAAUUGCCUGCAAUAUAUGGGUGUUCAUAUCGGCUGAGUCGAGUGUAGGAGAGGACGAUGUAUUUGCUGCGGAAGGCUUAAGUCAUUUAGUGGGUCUCGGAGAAGACAUCUUGGUUGUAUGCUUCCUCCCAGUUUGUUUCGGCCGAGCUGUGUUUGGUAGGAUGGAUAGAUCCUCGGCUGGAACGACGGGGUUGCCCAAGGUAUUCAAAGCGAGUGAGAGGAUAUCUUAUCUUGACAAUUCGUUGUCGACGGGGAUACCUGAAGCCUCUAAAGCAUUGAUGAUUUUAUCCGAGGGCCAUUGUGACCACAGAGGGUCCCCGUUCUGGAUUCUUGAGCUACUCCGCACUGUCGGAGGGGGAGAUUCGGCUACUUCAUCUUCCGAAUCGAUAAUGUCGCAGUCUACGAGGGGUUUUUGCGCCAUGCUUGUAUACAGGUGAGCGCUUACUUCGAUGUCUGCGAAUGAGAAGAGGGUGAGUACCGUACUUAUAUACUUCUAGGGUUAAGUGAUAAUUGGCUAGGACCGUACGUAGAAUGAUGACAUAACGUUUGAUUCUUCCCGGUAGAACUUGCGCUUAAGCUUACAUUUCCAUAAAACCCUCGUCAUCAUCUUAGAAUCUUGGCAUUCUAUUCGAUAGUAAUCUGUCAUUUGAGAGCCAUGUCACUAACACCUGUAAAAUUGCGUUUUUCCAUUUUAAGAAUAUAUCUAAACUACAUCAUAAGCUGUCAAUGUCAGAUGCAGAGAAGUUAAUUCAUGCAUUCAUGACAUCAAGACUAGAUUACUGUAAUGCACUGUUAGGUGGUUGCACUGCAGGCUUAUUACAAAAACUCCAACUGGUCCAAAAUGCGGCAGCUCGAGUUCUGACACAUACAAAAAAGUAUGAACAUAUUAGCCCGGUUCUGUCAACCACUACACUUCCAUAAUAUAAAUCUUCUGAGGGUUUAAGCUGCAUUAGUUAGAUCAACCGGAACCAGAAACACAACUGAUGUACUUGUUGCAUCAAAGAGUGCAGAACAGUACUCUACUCUCAGCCAGUCUUGUCUCAUUGUUCCAAGGUUACCACAGCGAGCAGGAUGCAGUUCAUGGCCAGACCUGAUGGUAGAGCAGAGAAUGGAAAGCGGCGACCUGACAAGAGCUGAGAUGAUAGAGCUGGAUAAAGAAGGACGCGGUCACUUGACACGUCUGCACCACAAAAUUUCAAAUGCUAUUAGAUUAUCAAUGUGUGAUGAUGUGGAGUUCACUACAUUACCCAUACUGCUUAGCGUAAGAGGGUGUUACGGUACAUACGGAUGUUAGGUGAGGAAUGUGCCGGUAGCCAAGUGUAUGUGACAUGUGAGCCUAACUCAGGCUGUGUUCUAAUAAAAUUAUUAUUUAUAUAUAACUGUGUGAAGUUAUAUGACAUGGUGUCAGAAGUGCGUCGUACUCGCUAACUCAAGUACCAGAAGAUGUCGAUGUUUCAAACUCCGGAGAAGUUUGACUUUAGUCAGCCCGCCACAUGGCCCACGUGGAUACAGCAUUUCAAGCGAUUUAGGAUUGCUACAAAGCUGGAUAAAGAGGACGAAGAGGUCCAAGUAAAUUCACUGAUGUAUGCUAUGGGGAAAGAGGCAACGACUAUAUUAGAAUCAUUUCGUUUCGUGAAUCCGGAUGACUCGGGAAAAUACGAAGAGGUAGUGGAAAAGUUUAAUGGACAUUUUGUGCCACGAAGGAAUGUCAUACAUGAGCGUGCAUGUUUUCAUCAACGUUCACAACAGCUGGGUGAAACGGUUGAAGCUUUCGUGAGAGGAUUUUACGAAUUGUCAGAAAACUGUGAGAUUGGAACACAGAAGGAUGAACAGAUCAGAGACAGAUUGGUGAUCGGAAUAAAUGAUCGUGGAGUGUCACAAAGGCUACAAAUGGAAAGUGAUAUGACCCUGGGAAAGGCAGUGAUACAGCCGGCAUCAAGCCCUGUCCAGCCGGCCUUCCAAGCAAGUCAAGCGGAACUUGUUAAAACUCAAAAUUCUGCAGAAACGACGUCCGCAGAAGUGGCGGAAUUGUACCAGAGGUCGCGCACAACAAAAACUACAGUACCGGUAAGGAAAGAAACACAAAGACACAGCAAGGACAUAGACACAAAGAAGAAAAGAUGUGUUCACGUGUGUAAUAAGCAUCAUAGACCAUGUGAAUGUCCAAUAAAUAAACAGUGUCUCAAAUGCAACAAACUAGGACAUUUUGCUACAGCGUGUUUUAGCAAAGCUGUUAGAGCAAUGCAUGUUCAAGAAGGAGCAGAGGAAGAAAAUGAGACAUACUUUUUGGACAGUAUCGAGAAAAGAGAAUCAGAAUCAGACUGGAUAGUGAGUCUUCCUGUAUGUGGAAAAGCAGUGACUUUUAAAAUAGACAGAGGAGCGGAUAUUACGAUUAUGUCCAAUGACACAUAUGAGAGUCUCCCACAACAGCCGUUGCUGAUGAAGACUUGUAUAAAGCUAAACAGUUCGGGUGGUUAUGUCAAAACACUGGGGAAAUUCUAUGCAGAGACUGCAAGAAAAAACGUGUUUUAUCAAUUCUGGAUUUACAUCAUGGAUGGAUGUUAUGCUAAUAAUCUACUUAGUAGAAGUGCAGCUUGUGCCAUGGGACUGGUGGCCAGAGCGGAUUACAUUCACGAGGAUGUGUUUGGGGAAAUUGGCUGUCUGAGUUGCGUGCCAGUAAAGAUUGAGCUGAAACUGGACGCACAGCCAUACAUUCUGACAACUCCCCGCAGGGUACCUUUUCCAUUGAUGAAGAAAUUUGAUGAGGAACUACAGCGGAUGCAAACAAUGCAGAUUAUACGAGAGGUGACACAGCCCACUGAUUGGUGUGCCCCGAUGGUCCCUGUAGUAAAGAAAAACGGAAGAGUAAGAAUUUGUGUAGAUCUUAAACAUCUCAACAAAGCUGUAAAAAGAGAAAAAUUCAUGCUGCCGACUUUGGAAGACAUUUCUACGAAACUGGCAGGAACCACAGUGUUUUUGACUCUCGACGCAUCAUCAGGUUUCUGGCAAAUUCCGCUGGACUCAAUGUUCAAAGUUCAAUGUUCACAACUUUCAUCACUCUGAGAGGCAGAUUUUGCUUCCAGAGGCUUCCUUUUGGGAUCACAUUAGCACCUGAGAUCUUCCAGAGGGAGAUGACAAAGCUACUGGAUGGACACGAGGGCUGUGUGGUAGUUAUGGAUGACGUCUUGGUAUGCAGUAAAGACAAAGAGAGUCAUGAUAAGAAUCUGGAGAAAGUAAUGCAGACGAUAAAAAAGUCAGGUCUAAAACUAAACAAAGACAAAUGUCAUUUCGGAAAGAAGGAACUUUGCUUCUUUGGACAUAUCAUCAGCAGUGAGAGGGUUAAACCUGACCCUGACAAAGUGAAAGCGAUCGCAGAUCUACCAUGUCCCAAAGAUGUCGCACAGCUUAGACAAGUGCUGGGAAUGGUGAAUUAUCUCGGAAAGUUUGUGCCUAAAAUGUCUACAACAUUGCACCCACUAAAUUAACUGUUAAAGAAGGAGUCAGCAUGGGUGUGGGAUGCGCUACAACAACAAGCGUUCGACAACAAAACUGUCAUCAGCUCAAUUGAAAUAUUCCCAGAUCGAGAAAGAAUGUCUGGCUGCAGUUUGGGCUUGCGAGAGACUUGCCUGUUAUCUCCUGGGUCUUGGUGAGUUUACACUACAAACAGACCACAAACCGUUGGUACCUCUGAUUAACACUUACAAUUUGGACAAAACUCCUGUGCGUUGUCAAUGUCUACUGAUGCGUUUGAUGCGGUUCAACGUUAAAGCUGUAUAUGUACCGGGAAAAUCACUGGUAGUGGCAGAUACACUGUCCCGUAAUCCACUGUCAUGUCAUGUCUAUUCUUGGUAUUGUGGCAGAGUCAUUGUUGACCUUUCGGCCUUCCAUACUCUCUCUCUCCGGUCCCGCCAUCUCGUUUCCUCGUUAACUUUCCCUGAGUGUUUUAUUACCCACACCUGCCACUUGCUAAUUAUCCUUUGUCUGUCUCCUUAUAUAAUACCCUCAUGUGUCAUUGUCCUGUGCUCGGUCAUUGUAUUCAGUUCGUCUUGUUGCUCGUCCAGUGUGUUACCAGUAUUGCAUGAUCCUGUUCCUGUCGUGCUGUUUCAUCGUCAGUCUAGUAAGUGUCCAGUUUAGUUUAUGUCUAGUGUUGUUAUCUCAGUUUACUGUAGUGUUAGUUAGUCCUCGUCCUGUUAUUUAUCGUGUUUGUUCUGUUCUACCCCCACGUGGGUGUUUUGUUUCUGUUUAUUGUUUGCAUUAAUAAAUGCCUGCAAUUGGGUUCUCCACACCUCACAUUUCAUGACAAAAAUGUCAGUGUGGUGGCCUGGAAUUGCAGCAGACCUCAAUGCCAAAGUUUCACAGUGUGUUUUUUGUCAAGUGCAUAAGCCCACACAAAGAAAGGAACCUCUUAUCACAACUUCACUUCCUCCUUGUCCAUGGCAAACCGUCGGAGCGGACCUGUGCGAGAAUGGAGGUAAAAACUAUCUAGUAGUAGUAGAUUUGUAUUCUAGAGACAUUGAAAUUGUUUGUUUACAUAUCACUAGUAGUCGCAGCGUAAUCUCCGCGCUAAAAGGAAUGUUUGUGAGAUGGGGAAUUCCGAGAGAAUUGCAUUCAGAUAAUGCUACCCAGUUCAGUAGUCUGGACUUCGCAGAUUUUUGUAAAACUUGGGGUGUUUAUCAUGUGACCAGCAGCCCUCACUACCCACAAUCGAAUGGUGCUGUUGAGAGAGCCGUGGGCACAGCGAAACACAUUCUGUGUCAGCCAGAUCCUCAUUUGGCUCUUUUGAGUUACAGAGCUACUCCAAUUGCAGCUACGGAGUGAGCCCUCCACAGCUAAUGCUGGGACGGCAGAUUCGUACUACAUUGCCUGUUCUGAAGAAAACAACAUCACAUCAGCAGAAAACGUCUUGGUUACGGAUGUAACCUCGGUUCCCUGAUGGAGGGAACGAGACGUUGUGUCGAACCGACAGAAUGGGGUUCGUCUUGAGAACCUAUCAUCUUCUGAGUAUUUAGA